CACACACACAAUAUACACUUCUGUCUCGAGCACUAGCAACCCUCACCCCCACUCACCAUCUCGACUCACCAUCUUUGCUAACAAUUACCAUCGAACUUCCACCACCGACCAUCGCGGCUCACGCUACUGCCGCUGACCAUCGCGGCUCUCGUCACCGUCACUCACCAUCGCGGCCCCCCUCCCAACCACAUUCAGGGUGUUCAUCCUUGUGAUAGGAGGAGAAGCAUCAGUGACUAUCAAUGCCUUUUUCCAACGGUGGAUUUUUCACUGGCAAGUAUUUUGAUAUUAGUAAUGCUUACGUAAAGUGGUACUAAACAUUUGUUUGCAAUGCUAUCAUUACUAUCAAUUGAACAUAUUGAAGCAUGGUCCUAUUACAUUCAUAAUACCUUUUGACUUUGUUAGAUAGAAAGUGACGAUGGUUUAUUAUGGAAAGCCAAUAUAAAAGAGACAAAGGAAGAACUUGCAGCUAGGGGAAUGGAGUUCAUGAACUGUGUAACUUUGUCAAAACUCAAGCCUCGAUAGCCAGCUGCUUAUUAUUAUCUUACAAUGUUCAGAACUUCAAGAUACACGGUAUGUUGACACUUUCAACAAAGAGGCUAGGAAUCAAACAAACUUAUUCCAGUCACCUUGAGUUCCAUCCAUUCAUCAAACCUGCUAGUGGUGGUAAUCCAAAAUUUUUCGUUCCCACACUAGCAUCUUCUAGUGAACUGACAAUUGAUACUACAACAGAUAGUGCACAAGAAACUACAUCAAGUACUGAAAAUUUAUCAAAUCUCAUUGCCAAUAACUCAAUCCAACAGAUGGAUUAUAUUCUGUUUUCUUUUUAUAAUUGUUAUAAUUUGAAAUGUCAAUUUUUUUUGGAAAUCCAAUGUUUUUGUAUGUAAUAUUUAAUUUAGAUGGAUUACACUUGGUUGGUGUGGGUUUAUAUGAUAUUUGGAAUAUGAUGUUACAAGUUAAAGUUUUUUGAUAGUUGAUAAUGAA